AUUCCAGCUCCAAUAGCGUAUAUUAAAGUUGUUGCGGUUAAAAGGCUCGUAGUUGGAUUUCUGGAUUGAGCGGCUGGCCUUGCGCGCAAGCGUUCGUGUCGGCUUCGUUUCGGUCCAUCCUCAGGGGGACUUGCGCUGGCAUUAACGUGUCGGUGUUGGGACGCCUGUCGUUUACUGUGAACAAAUUAGAGUGUUCAAAGCAAGGUGUACUUGAAUACAUUAGCAUGGAAUAAUAAGAUAGGACUUUGGUGGUUCUUUUUGAUAUUUUGUUGGUUUGCACGCCAAGGUAAUGAUUAAUAGGAGCAGUUGGGGGUAUUCGUAUUCAAUUGUCAGAGGUGAAAUUCUUGGAUUUAUAGAAGACGAACUACUGCGAAAGCAUUUACCAAGGAUGUUUUCAUUA
rnacentral:rRNA from 1 species